rnacentral:siRNA from 1 species
AGAUUGUCGGCAUCGUAACAUGAG